rnacentral:rRNA from 1 species
GACGAACGCUGGCGGCGUGCCUAAUACAUGCAAGUUGAACGCUAAAGCUUUAACUGGUGCUUGCACCGACUUAAGUUUUUAGAGUAGCGGACGGGUGAGUAACACGUGGGUAACCUGCCCAUAAGACUGGGAUAACUCCGGGAAACCGGGGCUAAUACCGGAUAACAUUUUGAACCGCAUGGUUCGAAAUUGAAAGGCGGCUUCGGCUGUCACUUAUGGAUGGACCCGCGUCGCAUUAGCUAGUUGGUGAGGUAACGGCUCACCAAGGCAACGAUGCGUAGCCGACCUGAGAGGGUGAUCGGCCACACUGGGACUGAGACACGGCCCAGACUCCUACGGGAGGCAGCAGUAGGGAAUCUUCCGCAAUGGACGAAAGUCUGACGGAGCAACGCCGCGUGAGUGAUGAAGGCUUUCGGGUCGUAAAACUCUGUUGUUAGGGAAGAACAAGUGCUAGUUGAAUAAGCUGGCACCUUGACGGUACCUAACCAGAAAGCCACGGCUAACUACGUGCCAGCCGCCGCUGUAAUAC